rnacentral:rRNA from 1 species
AGUGGCAGACGGGUGAGUAACACGUGGGAACGUGCCCUAAGGUUCGGAACAACUCCGGGAAACUGGAGCUAAUACCGAAUGUGUCCGUAAGGAGAAAGAUUUAUCGCCUUAGGAUCGGCCCGCGUCAGAUUAGCUAGUUGGUGGGGUAAUGGCCUACCAAGGCGACGAUCUGUAGCUGGUCUGAGAGGACGACCAGCCACACUGGGACUGAGACACGGUCCAGACUCCUACGGGAGGCAGCAGUGGGGAAUCUUGGACAAUGGGCGCAAGCCUGAUCCAGCCAUGCCGCGUGGAUGAUGAAGGCCCUAGGGUUGUAAAAUCCUUUCGUUGGGGACGAUAAUGACGGUACCCAAAGAAGAAGCUCCGGCUAACUUCGUGCCAGCAGCCGCGGUAAUACGAAGGGGGCUAGCGUUGUUCGGAUUUACUGGGCGUAAAGCGCGUGUAGGCGGGUCGUUAAGUUGGGGGUGAAAUCCCGGAGCUCAACUCCGGAACUGCCUCCAAAACUGGCGACCUGGAGCAAGAUAGAGGCGAGUGGAAUUCCGAGUGUAGAGGUGAAAUUCGUAGAUAUUCGGAGGAACACCAGUGGCGAAGGCGACUCGCUGGAUCUUUGCUGACGCUGAGACGCGAAAGCGUGGGGAGCAAACAGGAUUAGAUACCCUGGUAGUCCACGCUGUAAACGAUGAGAGCUAGUUGUC